rnacentral:rRNA from 1 species
GACAAACGCUGGCAGCGUGCCUAACACAUGCAAGUCGAACGAGAAAGUCGGCUUCGGCCGAUGAGUACAGUGGCGCACGGGUGAGUAACACGUGGGUAACCUACCCCUCGGUGGGGGAUAACACAUCGAAAGGUGUGCUAAUACCGCAUGACACGACGUUAUUGAUUAUGGCGUCGUCAAAGGUGGCGAAAGCUGCCGCCGGGAGAUGGGCCCGCGGACCAUUAGCUUGUUGGUAGGGUAAUGGCCUACCAAGGCGACGAUGGUUAGUCGGUAUGAAAGGAUGGCCAGCCACCCGGGAACUGGAACACGGUCCAGACUCCUACGGGAGGCAGCAGUGAGGAAUUUUGCGCAAUGGGGGGAGCCCUGACGCAGCAACGCCGCGUGAGUGAAGAAGGCCUUCGGGUUGUAAAGCUCUGUCAGAGCUGAAGAAACUACUGCGGUAAAUAGCCCGUGGUACUGACGGUAAGCUCAGAGGAAGCACCGGCUAACUCCGUGCCAGCCGCCGCGGUAAGAC